CUUCCUGUCCAGUCAUUGUUCUCCCACCGCCGGUAGGUGUAAACUGGAUCGCUGGCCUUCUAUUCCAGAGCCUGCGAGCUCUGUCCGGAUCUCUUCUCGGCGCACGUAGACGAUACUCAUCCUGGCCCAGGGGAGAAACUCAAGAAGAAGCUGUUGAAACUUAAAGAUUAGAUGGGGCCUGACUUCUGCUCGGCAGCCCCCAGCUAUUGGAGUUCCCCUGCUGAGCAGAGAAGAUGACUGCAGAAUUGAGAGAGGCUAUUGCCCUGGCCCCUUGGGGCCCAGUGACAGUGAAAAAGGAAGAGGAAGAGGAGGAGAACUUCCUAGGUCAGGCGUCCAGCCAGCAAGUGCCCUCUGAGAACAUCAAGGUCUGGGCUCCUGGGGAGGGUCCUCAGACAGGCCUUGAUGUAUCAGAACAGGAGGAAAAGGGUCCAAACAUGUUUUGGGACAUGGCUAUGGUUCUGAAAGCAACGAAGGAGGUGCCUGCUGCUUCAAGCCUUGGCAUCUACUCAUUACCAGGGACUCUGGCCAAGAGUGAGAUAAUGGAGACUUAUGGGAACAUGGCUUCUCUAGUUGCUGAAACUAAGAACCCACAGUUAUUGGUUCCAAAAACGGAGAUAUGUGAUGAAACAGAAAAACCCUUCAUAAUAUCAGGAAGAAUCCAGAAAGUUGACCCUCAAGGACCUGAGUUUGGAGAAGCCUGUGAAAAAGGGAACAUAAAGAGGCAGAGAAUCAAGAGGGAAAAGAGAGAUUUCAGACAAGUAACAGUGAAGGACUGUCAUGUACCUGAAAGUUUUAAAGAAGAGGAAGACCAAAAAUAUCAGAAAUCUGGGGAAAUAUAUAGUCUAAGUUCUGGCUCUAUUAAAAACCAGAAAAGCCAGACUGGGCAGAAACCUUUUACAUGUAGUGUGUGUGGGAAAGGCUUUAGUCAGAGUGCAAACCUUGUAGUACAUCAACGAAUACACACUGGGGAGAAACCCUUUGAGUGCCAUGAGUGUGGGAAGGCCUUCAUUCAGAGUGCUAACCUUGUUGUGCAUCAGCGAAUCCACACUGGACAGAAACCGUAUGUUUGUUCAAAAUGUGGGAAAGCCUUUACUCAGAGUUCCAAUCUGACUGUACAUCAAAAAAUCCACUCCUUAGAAAAAACCUUUAAGUGCAGUGAAUGUGAGAAGGCCUUCAGUUACAGCUCACAACUUGCUCGGCACCAGAAAGUCCACAUUACAGAAAAAUGUUAUGAGUGUAAUGAGUGUGGAAAAACAUUUACUCGGAGCUCAAACCUUAUUGUUCAUCAGAGGAUCCAUACCGGGGAGAAGCCUUUUGCCUGUAAUGAUUGUGGCAAAGCUUUCACCCAGAGUGCAAAUCUUAUUGUGCAUCAGCGAAGCCAUACUGUUCAAAGCUAUUGGAAUAUGAAAACUUUUAAAAGGCUGAGGAAACUGGCUAAGGUGACACUCUGUGAGCCCAAAGAAGCCAUCCUCAGGACCAAUCAGGACUGCUGUGCCAUCACUUGGGGACGAGUGAGAAUUUGACGCACACAAAGGAGGACAAGACUUGUCUCAGACCAAUCCCGACAACAAUAGCAUGAUAUCUGGGAUGAGAAAGCCACCCAGGGCUGCCUCUGACUUUAGGCCCUGAGGCCCCCUGCCUCCUGGGACCUAUCUGGAUCCUGCCCCUAGGGCCACUGCUGGGGAAGCACGACUGGGGCCAAAGCUAGUGGCCUCCGCCAGGCUGGAUUUUGAGACCAACAUUAAAAAGAUGGAUUUGAUUCUGGAACAAGUGAAUCUGAGAGAAUUCUCUGGAAGAAUCCAGGGUAAAAUUCCAGAUGGCUGGGAAGUCAGAGAAGGGGGAGUGGGAAAGUAGAACAAUCUGAAUGGCUUGCAGACAAGCAAGUGAGGAGAGACAUGCCAGGCACCAAAAGAAAAGAAACAUGGAUCAGGAGAGAGGCCAGGACUGUAUGAAACUUGAUGGAGGCGCCCGCCUCAGCACCAAAACCCCCUGCUUGUGUACUGAUUGUGGCAAGAGCUCCACCCUUGUCGUCCAGCAGGGAAUCCACACCAGGGAGAAGCCAUGUGGGUGCAGGGAGUGCAGGAAGUCCUUUACUUGCAGCUCCACCUGAUCCGGCAUCUGAGGGUGCACAUGGGAGAACCCUAUGUCUGUGGCCAGUGUGGUAAGGCCACAGCCAGGGCUCAAGCCUCAUCGUGCAGCAGGGUGUGCACACAGGCAAGAAGCUGUACAUUGGCCCCCAGUGUGGCAGGACCUUCAGCCCAAGCUCUACCUCCCUUUACAUCGGCAGAGCCUCAUGGGCUAGAGGCCCUAAAGUGCCAGUGCGGGAAGGCCUUCACCUGCAGCUGCCCCCUCCUGGGGCCCCGGCAGAGCCACAGCCAGCACAGGAAGGCCUUUGGCUGGAACUCGCACCUCAUCUUUCAGCAGACCACCCAGGCCAGGAAGAAACGCCAGCUGGCCUCCCUGGUGAGCCCAGUAUUGAUGGGCUCAAAGUCUCAGGGACCUGAAACACUCAGGGACCCAGCUAAGAACGCUGAGCCCUUGUCAUCAGCCCUGCUCUGUGCCACAUGCUGCCAGCCAAACAAGACUAGGGUGGAUUCCUGUGAGGGCCUCAUGUGUCCUUGAAGACACAGUGCACACACAUGUAGACACAAAUGACUGAAGGACACUAGAGGACAAGCUGUGUAAAAAAAACCACAGAGGUGUGUGAAGAGGAAGAAGCAAGAUCCAUGUGGAAGGGACACUGAUGGGGCCUCACGGGUCAGCUCUGGGAGAGCAGGUUGGCCCCGGGUUGGUGGGGAAGGCCUAGGGAGGGGGCCAGAAUAAGCAAAGGCCCAGGAAUGAGUCUAAGUGGGCCCCAGUGAAGGGGACUUGGGGUCACUGGGAGUGGCAGGCCUGAGGUACACAUGGGGAGGUAGGAAGACGCAGGUCAAAAUCCCUGGUAUGGGUGCCAUGAACCAAGGUCAACAUCCUGCCCUUGGGACCCAGUUUCCUGGGUGAGCUGCUGAGGGCUCUGAGCAUCAUUUUCUACAGCUGUCCAAGGAGUUGGACAUGAGGGGCUGUCUUCUUAAUUCUGGCCCUUGUGGUUGUAGGAGCUAGGAAGCCUUGGUCAGAACAGAGGCCGGCAGAAGGGAGAGGAAGGUGGGAGGAUGAAGCUGGUGACUCAGGUUAAGUGACAGAGAAGGGAGGAAAAGGAGCCAGGGAGACACAUAACAGGAAACGAGAAAUCCAGCUGUUUAAUCUCAGCUGAAGCAGCUCACAGAUCUCUCCAGCAGACAACCUAUUAUUGACUGUUACAUAAAAGGCACCGAGCUGGGUGUGCUAAGGAAUCCACCGUGAGUGAGACCUGGCCCUUUUAAGAGUGGACUCCAGCAGGGGGAGUAAGACCUACAGGACGCAGCACCUGCUAGUAGCAGGAAGCUAGAAUAACUGGGAGAAGUUCAGAGGUGGGGGGAGUAUGGUAUUUGAGCCACGCCUCCAAGGGUGGGUAGGAUUUAGAAACCUGAUGGGGGGAGAGGUGUGCCUAGGAAGAUUUGUCUGGAAAGGAAGACACGCAUGGGGAAACAGUAUAUGGUCUUAACCUAGGAGACAAAGAUGGCAUGUCACUUAUGUCCUGGAUGCUUUGAAAUAUGCUGUGUGAGUUGGAGUGUCAAGUACAAAACCCUUUCCAGCACUGGCUCCUUCUGUAGUGUGGAAAUUUAAUGAAUAAAGAAAGUAUUUGUGCUUCUGUUGUUACUAAGCAGUGUUAAGCUCGAAAUGUUGGCCUGAUCUAGUAAAUAAAACACAAAUCAGGCAUGCUGACGCUCUGAUCACCAGCAAUGUCAGUAGGGUCCCUGGCAAGAAGCACAGAGUUUAGUACAGGAACAGUUUACAGAGGUGUGGCAGGGGACAGUGACACCCCGGGUGCCAGCAACAGCUGGAGCCUGUGCCAUCCCCUAGUUUCUAGCAUCCCUAGAAGCAAAGGAAGGAAUGUGUGUCUGGAGUCCAGGUGAGGGACCUCCAGAGAAGCUGUGGGCACAGAGGGAUGGCCACUACCAGGGACACGGUGCCAAAGCAGGGAGGGAGCAGACACAGUACCCUGUCUCUUGUCCUCCCUCUGGUCUACCAGGGCCUCCCCCAGAACCAGGAAGCUGGAGGUAGAAGGAAUCAGGGCAGUGCCAUCCACCCCAGGGCGGAGAGGCAGAGGAUGGACACACCGUGCUGUGCAUGACAGAAAAGGGAUCUGGACCCAGGCAGGACGAUGCAGAAUCAGCUCUGGACACCAGCAGGCAACUUGCCUGCAUUUUGGAGUGAGUUGCUGAGAAGGGAAGUGUCAGGCAGGGUAGCAAUCAAAACAUUUGAAUGUCACUGGAUUGGGAAGGGUCCCUGAGGUUCUCCUGCUGAACAGAGAUGGGGAUGUCUUGGGAGGAGCCCAAGUGAAAGACAGAUUCUGUGCCACUGUGCCCUGUGUGGACGAACAGUUUUAUAAGAGAUUCUGGUGCUCCCACAGCACACAUUCUCUGUGGGCCCCUCAUGAGUUCCCCACAUUCCCAGGGACUCCACCCAAUCCCUCAUCUCCAGCCCUUUCAUUCUGACAUCCCAUGAGAGGCUCCAUGAGGAAGAAUUGCCAGCAUGUCACAUGAUUAAAACCCCCAUCCACCUGCCCCAUUUAGGGAGGGUCUGUUUUCCUCCCCAAAAUGUUCCUUCUCCCUCUGGUUAAUGCUGGCAAAGGUUAAGAGCUCUAGAAUUACCCAUCUCUCCUUACUUUGCACACCCACCCAACUAGCUGUCAUAUCCUGGAUGGCUGGACAGAGAGGUCACCUCUAGCAGGUCUCUUCCAAGCUUCCUUCUGUCCUUUUCCCAUGGCUGCCUCCACUGUUCAGGCCCCUGCCCCCAGACCAUCACGGCUGCCUCCCACCUCUUCAUAUUGCUUCCAACCUGUGAUGCACACUCUUUGGACAAGGUGGGAGCAGAAGGUGGGGAAAAGCUUUUAAGAGCAAAGGACAUAACAGCAGCUAGGAACCAAUGCAAAGAGUAGAUGAAGAAACUGUCCCUGUUCCUCCAAACCACUCCCCUAACCCGUGUCCCCUAGGGAUGACUCACAUUGGUAAGAGGCAGAGUGUGGAGUGAGCCUGAGUAAAGGUGUCCUCUGACUUCUUUUAACUAGUGGUAACAUCUUUUUGGUUCCCUCAAUAAUGGGCUAAGCAACAUGUUUUAACAUGUGUGUUCAUUUUAUAUUUGUGUGAGUCAUGAUUUUACCUUUUUUUUUUUUAAAUUACCUUUUAACAAGCCUGUUCUAAGUUCCUUUGCAGACUACUGGAAGUAAGCCUUAUCCAAACCAGCAAAGCCCGAGACUUGCGUGUUGAUCCUGUGACCCCUGCUCCUCUGUAGAAAACUGAGGUAGCUAUUGUUCCUGCUUACCCAGCAUGUGUUCUCAUUUCCCUUCCCUCAGCAAACUGCACACUCUGGUUAUGGGUGGAGAAUGUGCUCCUGCUCUGACCAACUGCAUUUCCUUGGAAACUGUACUUAAUUCAAGGGUUUGCAUAUAAUGUAAAUAAAACCAACCAGAAUUAUUUUCCUGGGAUUUAAUAAAGGAUCACUGGGGAGAAAAGUUUUUUACAGGCUUGCAUAGACUAUAUAAAACAGAAUCUGAGGAAAAGCUUAUACUGGGAGAUGCAACCCCAGGGAAGCAAGAGAAAAGGAAAAAAGGUAAGUCAUGCAGGAGUGGAGGGAAAUCAAGUUAGUUUAAUCAGGCUGGCCUGAAGAAAACCCAACUGUUUGUUCAUUUAUGUAGAACAUUUUUUUAGAAAGGCCUUGCAGGACUACCCAGGGGCAGUCCAUUAAGUGGAGGUGGGGAAG